ACGCUGGCGGCAGCCUAACAAUGCAAGUCGAACGGGCGUAGCAAUGCGUCAGUGGCAGACGGGUGAGUAACACGUGGGAACAUGCCCUUUGGUUCGGAAUAACUCAGGGAAACUUGAGCUAACACCGGAUACGUCCAAGGCGACUUGGAGAAAGAUUUAUCGCCUAAGGAUUGGCCCGCGUCUGAUUAGCUAGUUGGUGGGGUAAUGGCUCACCAAGGCGACGAUCAGUAGCUGGUCUGAGAGGAUGAUCAGCCACAUUGGGACUGAGACACGGCCCAAACUCCUACGGGAGGCAGCAGUGGGGAAUAUUGGACAAUGGGCGCAAGCCUGAUCCAGCCAUGCCGCGUGAGUGACGAAGGCCUUAGGGUUGUAAAGCUCUUUUGCCUGNGAAGAUAAUGACGGUACCAGGAGAAUAAGCCCCGGCCAACUUCGUGCCAGCAGCCGCGGUAAUACGAAGGGGGCUAGCGUUGUUCGGAAUCACUGGGCGUAAAGCGCACGUAGGCGGAUUCUUAAGUCAGGGGUGAAAUCCCGGGGCUCAACCUCGGAACUGCCUUUGAUACUG
rnacentral:rRNA from 1 species